CUCCUCCUGGUUCCACCUCCAUCACUCUUCCUCCAUCCCUCUCUCCUGCUGUUCUCUCUGUGUUGUCAUGUGUUGGAUCAGUCUGUGUUGUGGUUCUACUGGUGUUACUGAUUCUGCUGGUGAGACGAUGUGUUCACAGGAAACCUGAAGCUGAACAAAAAGAAGAUGCAGAAGAUGCUAUCACAUACAGUGAUGUUAAAAUAUCACAUUGUAAACAGCCAACCAAGCAAAACAGAGAGACUGAUCCAGCUGCAGUUUACUCAGCAGUGAAAACUACAGACGUCAGUUAUGGACAAAUCAUCAUCAAAGAGAAGAAAAACAGAACAAAGCCGAGAGAGACUGACACAGCUGUAGUCUAUUCGGCAGUGAGACCUGAAGACAUCAAUUAUGGACAAAUAGCUGUUACACCAAAAAGGAAAAGAGACUUUAAACCAGAGCCAGACGUCAUCUACUCUUUACUGAAGUAGUCCACCAGUCCAACCACUGACGUCCAGCUGCUGGUCUCUAACUGGUCCCCAGCACCUCAGGCAAGAGGACAUCCACAUAUUCAAAAUAUUUUUAUAUGUUUGACAUCUUUUUCUUUUUAAUUUAGACACACAUGAUUUAAAAAAUCAAUUCUUAAAUUUCAACUUGAGUUUAAGCGUGUAUUUUCAUACAAAAUCAACAGCAAAAUUAUAAAUAUAUUCAUAUGUUUUAUGUUCUCAGUAACUUUUCUGCUGUAUAUAUUAUUUAUGUUUUUCUGGUCUUUGCUGACAUGGUAAUGUCAGAUUAAUAAACGUUUGUUCACA